rnacentral:rRNA from 1 species
CAGCAGUAGCCGCGGGAAUACGAAGGGGGCUAGCGUUGUUCGGAUUUACUGGGCGUAAAGGGCGCGUAGGCGGACUGAUAAGUCAGGGGUGAAAUCCCAAGGCUCAACCUUGGAACUGCCUUUGAUACUGUUUGUCUUGAGUUCGAGAGAGGUAAGUGGAACCGCGAGUGUAGAGGUGAAAUUCGUAGAUAUUCGCAAGAACACCAGUGGCGAAGGCGGCUUACUGGCUCGAAACUGACGCUGAGGCGCGAAAGCGUGGGGAGCAAACAGGAUUAGAUACCCCGGUAGUCCCUGUCUCUUAUAC